GACGCUGUAGCUUAGUGGUAAAGCGUCUGUCUCGUAAACAAUAGAUAGUUUGUUCGAUUCCGCCCAGUGUCU
rnacentral:tRNA from 1 species